AAGCGGCUGCUGCGCGGCUCCCCACACGCACAUUGUUUAUCAACAAUCGAACGGGCACGCUCGUUCAUUGACACUUCAGAAGGGGUUGUUUUCUCGAAAUAUUGCUCUGGAAGGGUUGAUCACAUGACGUCAUUGGGUAAUGUUGUGAAAUAAAGCGGCACCUUCUUAAAUGCGAAAAUCACUUAUAGAAACGGUUAAACACACUAUGGAAAAGCAAAGACAACAACAUAGCGGAAGGAUCUACAAUCAGAACCUUUACACCACAAAUCCCUUCAAAAUCAGAAAAACUCCUCCAAGAUGUUCAAAAGAAUUGUUGUGACUCAUCUACAACCUUCAAAGGCAAGAAACGUAGUUGAUCAGUGAAUCAAUGUCUACCAUAUCUACGUUACAUGAAUUUAUCCUUCAAAAAUCCCUUGGAAGACGACGCCACUUAACCGUUAAGUCAUUCCAGCCUCUGUUUUAGCCUUCCAGGUGAGUAAUUUUCACUUCCACCAUGCAACAAGUUCGUUCUCUUCUUUCCAUAAAGUACUUGCCUGCAGCAUUGCUCGAGAAUGGCCUUGGACGACUGCUCAUUCCUUGCGACAAUCAAACGGCUUCCCAAGCGCAACAUUCUGACGUACACUGACCGAUUCAGAUUCACCAACCAAUUACGACGGUAAGCACGAGACUGACCGGUUCGCGAGUUGCAUCGCACCAGUUGUAGUAUGAAUUUUCAUGCACUCCACAAAAAAAGACUAAAAUAAAACAACCAAAAAACCCUUAAUACUCGGGAACCGGAUUAAAAUCUGCAGCC